rnacentral:tRNA from 1 species
GAGGGUAUAGCUCAGUGGUGGAGUGUGUGCUUAGCAUGCACAAGGUUGUGGGUUCAAUUCUCAGCCCCUCC